rnacentral:rRNA from 1 species
GACGAACGCUGGCGGCGUGCUUAACACAUGCAAGUCGAACGGAAAGGCCCUGCUUUUUUGGUGUUCUCGAUUGGCGAACGGGUGAGUAACACGUGAGUAACCUGCCCUUGACUUUGGUAUAACUUCAGGAAACUGGGGCUAAUACCGGAUAGGAUCUCCUGCUGCAUGGUGGGGGUUGGAAAGUUUCGGCGGUUGGGGAUGGACUCGCGGCUUAUCAGCUUGUUGGUUGGGUAGUGGCUUACCAAGGCUUUGACGGGUAGCCGGCCUGAGAGGGUGACCGGCCACAUUGGGACUGCGAGACGGCCCAGAGUCCAACGGGAGGCAGUAGUGGGGAAUAUUGCACAAUGGGCGGAAGCCUGAUGCAGAAACGCUGCGUGCGGGAUGACGGUCUUCGGGUUGUAAAAAGCUUUAGCCUGUGACGAAGCGUGAGUGACGGUAAUGGGUAAAGAAGCACCGGCUAACUACGUG